ensembl:misc_RNA Metazoa_SRP Metazoan signal recognition particle RNA
GCCUGGCGUGGUGGUGUAUGCCUGUAGUCCCAGCUGCUCAGGAGGCUGAGGUAAGAGGAUUGCUUGAGCCUAGGAGUUCUAGGCUGUAGUGCACUAUGCUGACUGGUGUCCGCAUUAAGUUCAGCGUUAAUAUGGUUACCUCCCGGAGUGGGGGAUCACCAGGUUACCUAAAGAGCGGUGAACCAGCCCAGGUCGGAAACUCCCAUGCUGAUCAGUACUGGGAUCGCACCUGUGAAUAGCCACUGCACUCCAGCCUGGGCAACAUAGCAAGACCCCUGUCUCU